CUCCGCCCGGCAACCGGAGGCGACGCAUCACCACCUACACCUCCACGACUUGCUCCUCCGGCGGGGGCAACGGCGACCGGGGUCAUCAUCCUCCCUCUUCCCGGAUCUCGUCUCUGCCCAGAGAUCGAAGGACCUUCUCUGUUGUCUGAAAUUUGUACCCAAGUGAGCAGCUGUACUGAAGAACAUCGAACAUUUUGCAGUGCAUCUAACUAACCUGACCUCACAAUAGGUGCUGAUUUGUAGGUCUGCUCUGAAAUUAGAAGUUGGCUUUAUCUGAAGACUUUGUGUAAAAUUGCUUGGUGCCUUUCGAAAGAUUUCACUCAGAGCAAGAAAGGUAUGUGACAUAGUCAUCCUUUUGACAUGGUCAUUGAGGAAGCUUAAAUUAUGCAAAACUACUGCUCUUGUGAUGUUAUUUUUCUGUGCCUAGUAAUGAAAGCGUUCUUAUUUUAGUAUAUGAGAAAAUUGUU